GCCUUCGGGUUGUAAAGCACUUUUGUCCGGAAAGAAAUCCUUGGCUCUAAUACAGUCGGGGGAUGACGGUACCGGAAGAAUAAGCACCGGCUAACUACGUGCCAGCAGCCGCGGUAAUACGUAGGGUGCAAGCGUUAAUCGGAAUUACUGGGCGUAAAGCGUGCGCAGGCGGUUUGCUAAGACCGAUGUGAAAUCCCCGGGCUCAACCUGGGAACUGCAUUGGUGACUGGCAGGCUAGAGUAUGGCAGAGGGGGGUAGAAUUCCACGUGUAGCAGUGAAAUGCGUAGAGAUGUGGAGGAAUACCGAUGGCGAAGGCAGCCCCCUGGGCCAAUACUGACGCUCAUGCACGAAAGCGUGGGGAGCAAACAGGAUUAGAUACCCUGGUAGUCCACGCCCUAAACGAUGUCAACUAGUUGUUGGGGAUUCAUUUCCUUAGUAACGUAGCUAACGCGUGAAGUUGACCGCCUGGGGAGUACGGUCGCAAGAUAAAAACUCAAAG
rnacentral:rRNA from 1 species